GCCNAGUAUCUCCGNAUANAACUCCNNAAAAAANCGGGCUAAUACCUGNUGGUUGUUUGAACCGCNGGGUUCAGACAUCNAUAGGGGCUUCNGCUACCACUUACAGAUGGACCCGCGGCGCAUUAUCUAGUUGGUGAGGUAACGGCUCACCAAGGCGACGAUGCGUANCCGACCUGAGAGGGUGUAUCGGCCACACUGGGACUGAGACACGGCCCAGACUCCUACGGGAGGCAACAGUANGGAAUCUUCCNCAAUGGACGAAAGUCUGACGGAGCAACGCCGCGUGAGUGAUGAAGGUUUUCGGAUCGUAAAGCUCUGUUGUUAAGGAAGAACAAGUGCCGUUCAAAUAAGGCGGCACCUUGACGGUACCUAACCAGANGCCACGGNUUACUACNNGCCNNCACCGCGGUANACUAAGUGGCCAGCGUUUGUCCGGAAUUAAUUGGCGUAAAGGGCUCGCCAGGCGGUUCUUAGUCUGAUGUGAAAACCCCCGCUCAACCGGGAAGGUCUUUGNAACCUGGGNANUUU
rnacentral:rRNA from 1 species